rnacentral:lncRNA from 1 species
UAGUCUGUGGUUCAUUCUCCAGAAAUUCCAUCAAGUUGGUAUAAGGGUGUUAGGGGAUGCUAUCAUAAAUCAUCAAUGUGCGCAUUAUCAGAAUCAAAAUGGUAUUUGGAACAUUUUUGGUGGUUUGUUAAACUGGGAUGAUAGCGUAGUUGUUGGGGACGAUCCCUAUUUCCAGGGCCAGGGAAAUAAAAAUAGUGGAGAUAAUUUCCAUGCUGCCCCAAAUAUUGAUCAUUCACAAGAGUUCACCAGAGAAGAUAUUUGGUAAUGUUUAUGCUGGCUCAGGAAAGAGACUGGGUAUGAUGGAUGGAGGUUAG